GACGAACGCUGGCGGCGUGCCUAAUACAUGCAAGUCGAACGCUUCUUUCCUCCCGAGUGCUUGCACUCAAUUGGAAAGAGGAGUGGCGGACGGGUGAGUAACACGUGGGUAACCUACCCAUCAGAGGGGGAUAACACUUGGAAACAGGUGCUAAUACCGCAUAACAGUUUAUGCCGCAUGGCAUAAGAGUGAAAGGCGCUUUCGGGUGUCGUUGAUGGAUGGACCCGCGGUGCAUUAGCUAGUUGGUGAGGUAACGGCUCACCAAGGCCACGAUGCAUAGCCGACCUGAGAGGGUGAUAGGCCACACUGGGACUGAGACACGGCCCAGACUCCUACGGGAGGCAGCAGUAGGGAAUCUUCGGCAAUGGACGAAAGUCUGACCGAGCAACGCCGCGUGAGUGAAGAAGGUGUUCGGAUCGUAAAACUCUGUUGUUAGAGAAGAACAAGGACGUUAGUAACUGAACGUCCCCUGACGGUAUCUAACCAGAAAGCCACGGCUAACUACGUG
rnacentral:rRNA from 1 species